rnacentral:rRNA from 1 species
UGAGGAAUAUUGGUCAAUGGGCGGGAGCCUGAACCAGCCAAGUCGCGUGAGGGAUGACGGCCCUAUGGGUUGUAAACUUCUUUUAUAUGGGAAUAAAGUAUUCCACGUGUGGGAUUUUGUAUGUACCAUAUGAAUAAGGAUCGGCUAACUCCGUGCCAGCAGCCGCGGUAAUACGGAGGAUCCGAGCGUUAUCCGGAUUUAUUGGGUUUAAAGGGAGCGUAGAUGGGUUGUUAAGUCAGUUGUGAAAGUUUGCGGCUCAACCGUAAAAUUGCAAUUGAUACUGGCAGUCUUGAGUACAGUUGAGGUAGGCGGAAUUCGUGGUGUAGCGGUGAAAUGCUUAGAUAUCACGAAGAACUCCGAUUGCGAAGGCAGCCUGCUAAGCUGCAACUGACAUUGAGGCUCGAAAGUGUGGGUAUCAAACAGG